GUGCGGACCUCAAAGGACCCGGUGGAUCCAAACAGUUAACUCGGGAACGGGUACUCAAUGACCCGACCCACUGACAUCCCUAUAAUCCCAUAUUGUGGUCCAAUUAAGAUUUGGAUUUAUGAUAUGGACAGUGAAAAUGAAGUUUUUCAACUGAGAGACGGAUCGGAUGUCACACAGGCAUCAUCAUGGGGCCCACACUGCUCGGGAAAUGCACGCCCUUCCUACAGCAGGUGUUGCAUCGGAUUCGGGUCCGGCUAGCAAACCCUACAUACAAUGACAGGCCGUUGUUUGAGAGCAUCAGUACCGUAAACAGGGAUUGGCGGUGGUGAUGUUGGGAGGGAAGAGCCCAGGCGUCGCCAUUCUCUGGCUGUGGGCAAUCGGAACCGCUGCAGUUCUUGUUGCCAAUGUGGCGACGACUCGAAUGAGAGACAUGGAAAAGCUGAUCAAAGAGGAAGAAGCGAGGAGUCAAUCUGAACUGUUGAGUCCUUCUGGACGAGGAGUGGAAACAGUUCUGGAAGAGGAGUAAUGAAUCUCAUAGGUAGAUUUUUCUGAAUUCCCCAAAAAUCGCUCUCUCCUAACAAUCCAGGAAAGAAUAUUGUAUCUAGUAUUUCAGAAUGAAUCCUCCUUCCUCUGUAA